AUUGAACGCUGGCGGCAGGCCUAACACAUGCAAGUCGAGCGGAUGAAGGGAGCUUGCUCCUGGAUUCAGCGGCGGACGGGUGAGUAAUGCCUAGGAAUCUGCCUGGUAGUGGGGGAUAACGUCCGGAAACGGGCGCUAAUACCGCAUACGUCCUGAGGGAGAAAGUGGGGGAUCUUCGGACCUCACGCUAUCAGAUGAGCCUAGGUCGGAUUAGCUAGUUGGUGGGGUAAAGGCCUACCAAGGCGACGAUCCGUAACUGGUCUGAGAGGAUGAUCAGUCGCACUGGAACUGAGACACGGUCCAGACUCCUAUGGGAGGCAGCAGUGGGGAAUAUUGGACAAUGGGCGAAAGCCUGAUCCAGCCAUGCCGCGUGUGUGAAGAAGGUCUUCGGAUUGUAAAGCACUUUAAGUUGGGAGGAAGGGCAGUAAGUUAAUACCUUGCUGUUUUGACGUUACCAACAGAAUAAGCACCGGCUAACUUCGUG
rnacentral:rRNA from 1 species